rnacentral:rRNA from 1 species
GACGAACGCUGGCGGCGUGCCUAACACAUGCAAGUCGAGCGAGAUGAACCCUUCGGGGUGAUUCUAGCGGCGGACGGGUGAGUAACACGUGGGUAACCUGCCUCAAAGAGGGGGAUAGCCUCCCGAAAGGGAGAUUAAUACCGCAUAACAUUAUUUCUUCGCAUGAAGAGAUAAUCAAAGGAGUAAUCCGCUUUGAGAUGGACCCGCGGCGCAUUAGCUAGUUGGUGAGGUAAUGGCUCACCAAGGCGACGAUGCGUAGCCGACCUGAGAGGUGAUCGGCCACAUUGGAACUGAGAUACGGUCCAGACUCCUACGGAGGCUG